rnacentral:rRNA from 1 species
CGCGAGACGACUCGCGUGUGCAGUCACUCUAAUGCGCUUGAUCUCUGGAUGACUACUGAUGGAGAAGGCUGCCCCGUGUGAUAAUAUUGAUCGUCAGACAUGAAAGCGUGAGGAGCCACAUGAUUAGAUAUCGUGGUACUCCACGUGCUAAACGAUGUCAACUAGCUGUUGGGGCCGUUCGGCCUUAGUAGCGCAGCUAACGCGUGAAGUUGACCGCCUGGGGAGUACGGUCGCAAGAUUAAAACUCAAAGGAAUUGACGGGGACCCGCACAAGCGGUGGAUGAUGUGGAUUAAUUCGAUGCAACGCGAAAAACCUUACCUACCCUUGACAUGUCUGGAAAGCCGAAGAGAUUUGGCCGUGCUCGCAAGAGAACCGGAACACAGGUGCUGCAUGGCUGUCGUCAGCUCGUGUCGUGAGAUGUUGGGUUAAGUCCCGCAACGAGCGCAACCCUUGUCAUUAGUUGCUACGCAAGAGCACUCUAAUGAGACUGCCGGUGACAAACCGGAGGAAGGUGGGGAUGACGUCAAGUCCUCAUGGCCCUUAUGGGUAGGGCUUCACACGUCAUACAAUGGUCGGGACAGAGGGUCGCCAACCCGCGAGGGGGAGCCAAUCUCAGAAACCCGAUCGUAGUCCGGAUCGCAGUCUGCAACUCGACUGCGUGAAGUCGGAAUCGCUAGUAAUCGCGGAUCAGAAUGUCGCGGUGAAUACGUUCCCGGGUCUUGUACACACCGCCCGUCACACCAUAGGAGUGGGCUUCACCAGAAGUAACUAAGCCUUCACCCAAUGUCGUAAGCAAG